rnacentral:rRNA from 1 species
AACGAACGCUGGCGGCAUGGCUAAGCCAUGCAAGUCGUACGGACCACCUUUUGCUUGCAUUGGGUGGUUAGUGGCGAAAGGGAGAGUAAUGCAUGGGUAACGUACCCUGGAUUCUGGGAUAACACGGCUUCGGCCUUUAGUGAAAAUGUGGCUAAUACCGGAUGAAAUCGCUGUAUCGCAUGGUACUGGCGAUCAAGGGCAGGGAUCCUUCGGGACCUGCUGAUCUGGGAGCGACCCAUGUCCUAUCAGCUUGUUGGUGGGGUAACGGCCUACCAAGGCAGCGACGGGUAGCGGGCGUGAGAGCGUGGACCGCCUCAUCGGAACUGAGACACUGUCCGGGCACCUACGGGUGGCUGCAGUAACGAAUAUUGGGCAAUGGGCGAAAGCCUGACCCAGCAAUGCCGCGUGCAGGAGGAAGCCUUUCGGGGUGUAAACUGCUGUCAGGUCCUAGCAAGCAAAGGGUGUUAAUAGCGCCCCGCGUUGAGCAAGACCAAAGGAAGCAUCGGCUAACUCUGUGCCAGCAGCCGCGGUAAGACAGAGGAUGCAAGCGUUGUUCGGAAUCAUUGGGCUUAAAGAGGGUGUAGGCGGCUGCGCAAGCGUUGUGUGAAAUCCCACGGCUCAACCGUGGAAUUGCAUGGCGAAC